rnacentral:lncRNA from 1 species
GUCCCGUGGCCGAGUGGUUGGGUUCUCCGGCUUUGGCAGCCCAGGGUUUCGCAGGUUUGGAUCCUGGGUGCAGACAUGGUGCCGCUCAUUGGGCCAUAUUGGGGUAGCGUCCAACGUGCCACAACUAGAAGGACCCAAAACUAAAAUAUACAACUAAAGAGUAUUCCAGGGGCCGGCCCCGUGGUGCAGCAGUUAAGUGCACUUGUUCUGCUUCUCCGUGGCCUGGGGUUCACCAGUUUGGAUCCCAGGAAGAUUAGCCCUCAGCUAACAUCUGCUGCCAAGCUUCCUCCUUUUGCUGAGGAAGACUGGCCCUGAGCUAACAUCCGUGCCCAUCUUCCUCUACUUUGUAUGUGGGAUGGCUGCUACAGCAUGGCUUGCCAGGCAAUGCCAUGUCCUCGCCUGGGAUCUGAACCAGCGAACCCCGGGCCACCAAAGCAGAACAAAUGCACUUAACUGCUACACCACCGGGCCAGCUCUCAUUGUAAUUUUUAAAUUUUUGUUUCUUUUGCAAUGGGCAUAAAAAAA